rnacentral:lncRNA from 1 species
UAAAAAAAAAAUCGAAUCGCAAUAAAGUAAGUACUAUGUGUGAACAUACAACAUUGAGCUGAAACUCCAUAACCAAAAAGAAAGGAAAAGCUUGAAGAGAAGUUGUAUGUGAUCAAAGAUGAAAUGUAAUUCUCAAUCUCAAUUGUUAUAAUAGAGAGGACUACUAUAUAUAGCUAAGACAAGUAGUUAGAUCCUAACUAACUCCUCUCAACAACCUCUAACUAACCCCUAAAAUUAGUUAGCACAAAGAGAAAACAGAAUUUAC